rnacentral:rRNA from 1 species
UAGCUAGUUGGUGAGGUAAAGGCUUACCAAGGCGACGAUCUGUAGCGGGUCUGAGAGGAUGAUCCGCCACACUGGAACUGAGACACGGUCCAGACUCCUACGGGAGGCAGCAGUGGGGAAUUUUGGACAAUGGGGGCGACCCUGAUCCAUCCAUGCCGCGUGAGUGAAGAAGGCCUUCGGGUUGUAAAGCUCUUUCGGCCGGGAAGAAAUCGCAUGGGCCAAUACCCUGUGUGGAUGACGGUACCGGAAUAAGAAGCACCGGCUAACUACGUGCCAGCAGCCGCGGUAAUACGUAGGGUGCGAGCGUUAAUCGGAAUUACUGGGCGUAAAGCGUGCGCAGGCGGUUUUGUAAGACAGGCGUGAAAUCCCCGGGCUUAACCUGGGAACUGCGUUUGUGACUGCAAGGCUAGAGUACGGCAGAGGGGGGUGGAAUUCCACGUGUAGCAGUGAAAUGCGUAGAGAUGUGGAGGAACACCAAUGGCGAAGGCAGCCCCCUGGGUCGAUACUGACGCUCAUGCACGAAAGCGUGGGUAGCAAACAGGAUUAGAUACCCUGGUAGUCCACGCCCUAAACUAUGUCAACUAGGUGUUGGGUGGGUAAAACCAUUUAGUACCGUAGCUAACGCGUGAAGUUGACUGCCUGGGGAGUACGGCCGCAAGGUUAAAACUCAAAGGAAUUGACGGGGACCCGCACAAGCGGUGGAUGAUGUGGAUUAAUUCGAUGCAACGCGAAAAACCUUACCUACCCUUGACAUGCCAGGAACUUGCCAGAGAUGGCUUGGUGCCCGAAAGGGAGCCUGGACACAGGUGCUGCAUGGCUGUCGUCAGCUCGUGUCGUGAGAUGUUGGGUUAAGUCCCGCAACGAGCGCAACCCUUGUCGUUAAUUGCCAUCAUUUAGUUGGGCACUUUAACGAGACUGCCGGUGACAAACCGAAGGAAGGUGGGGAUGACGUCAAGUCCUCAUGGCCCUUAUGGGUAGGGCUUCACACGUCAUACAAUGGUCGGUACAAAGGGUUGCCAAGCCGCGAGGCGGAGCCAAUCCCAGAAAGCCGAUCGUAGUCCGGAUUGCAGGCUGCAACUUGCCUGCAUGAAGUCGGAAUCGCUAGUAAUCGUGGAUCAGCAUGUCACGGUGAAUACGUUCCCGGGUCUUGUACACACCGCCCGUCACACCAUGGGAGCGGGUUCCGCCAGAAGUAGGUAGCCUAACCGCAAGGGGGGCGCUUACACGGCGGGGUUCGUGACUGGGGUGAAGUCGAACAAGGUAGCCGUAGGGGAACCUGCGGCUG